GACGAACGCUGGCGGCGUGCUUAACACAUGCAAGUCGAACGGAAAGGCCCUGCUUGCUGGGUCCUCGAGUGGCGAACGGGUGAGUAACACGUGGGUGAUCUGCCCUGCACUUCGGGAUAAGCCUGGGAAACUGGGUCUAAUACCGGAUAGGAGCUAUUUUUAGUGUGAUGGUUGGAAAGUUUUUUCGGUGUAGGAUGAGCUCGCGGCCUAUCAGCUUGUUGGUGGGGUAAUGGCCUACCAAGGCGGCGGCGGGUAGCCGGCCUGAGAGGGUGGACGGGCACAGUGAGACUGGGAUACGGCCCAGACUCCGACGGGAGGGAGAAGUGGGGGAGGUUGCACAAUGGGCGCAAGCCUGAUGCAGCGACGCCGCGUGGGGGAUGACGGCCUUCGGGUUGUAAACGCCUUUCGCUAGGGACGAAGCUUUUUGUGACGGUACCUAGAGAAGAAGCACCGGCUAACUACGUG
rnacentral:rRNA from 1 species